rnacentral:rRNA from 1 species
AUGCCACACUGUGUACCCUCGCACACAUGUUUACACGUGACUUUCUAUGCAAAAUGGGCUUUAUGUAGAUAUAAAAAUGACGUGCUAACAUUUUGUAUAUUUUGUAAGGCGUCGUAUCAAUCAAGAUCGGCUUUACGCGCGGUAUUUUAUGAGCCGACACCGUCAAGAUUGCCACUUCCGGCUUCACCACUACUCGUACACCGUAGAGAAAUUCAGUCCCCACUCCCCCAGAUCCUCGAAGUAGUACCCCGCAGCGAACGAAGCCUUAACAAACCCAACCACCAGCACUACACACUACCCGCGGCACUGCCACUAACUGAUUUCAACCGCCACAUCGACCGCCGGAGGCCGGAGACGGCCGCCCAGUGA